UGAAAAAAGGUGUCAAAAGUCAAUUUGGACUUUUCUUCUUAUAAACCUUUAUUAACCUUUAUAAAAAAAAAAUAAAAAAAAUUAAUGGUCACAUAUAUGGAAAAUGGUGGCUGGCCAUGUGCUAUUUUAGAGUGGUGUGAACCCAAUUUUAUAAAAUUCAAAUCCCAUUUAAUUAAGAAGUCAAGUGGGCAAGUGGGUAGAAGGGCAAGUGGGUAGAAAAGCACUCAAGUGUUUUGUGAUAUUUUGAAGAGUUGUGUGAGCCAUUCUAACCCCCAAAUCCGACCACUCUCCCUCCCUCAUUCACUCUCAUCUGAUUUUUGAAGACUCUCUCAAGUGUUCUCUCCAUUUUCAACCCCAAGAACACCAAAGAAACUUGGAAGCUAAGUCUUGGUCUAGGAAGGGUUUUCCCUAAGGUAAAGUUUCAUUAAUCUAGACUUUUGUCAAGUUUUAAUCAUAGAGUUUCAAAUAGCUAAUUACCUAUGUUGUUGGAGGAAUUUGGUUAGGGUUUUUGAAAGGUUUUGAAGGAGUCAAAGCUUAUAGGAAGGUCCAAACCUUAAGCAAGAACACCAAAGAGGUAAGAGCAAGGGCAAGGCAGAGCAGUGAGUGCUGGAGUCUUCCUUGCAAAUGUACAUGUGGACCGACCUUUUGGGAAGCCUUUUUAUUUUUGGAAAUGUUGUGUAAUUUUCCUAAACUAGGCUCACUCUAAUCUUUGUAAAACAUGUUUGUAACUAAAUGUUAAGUAUGGCCAUACGACUUUUAAAAAAGUUUU